rnacentral:rRNA from 1 species
CAGUCGCCACGGUAAUACGUAGGUGGCAAGCGUUGUCCGGAAUUAUUGGGCGUAAAGCGCGCGCAGGUGGUUUAAUAAGUCUGAUGUGAAAGCCCACGGCUCAACCGUGGAGGGUCAUCGGAAACUGUUAAACUUGAGUGCAGGAGAGAAAAGUGGAAUUCCUAGUGUAGCGGUGAAAUGCGUAGAGAUUAGGAGGAACACCAGUGGCGAAGGCGGCUUUUUGGCCUGUAACUGACACUGAGGCGCGAAAGCGUGGGGAGCAAACAGGAUUAGAUACCCCCGUAGUCCCUGUCUCUUAUAC